rnacentral:misc_RNA from 1 species
UCACCCCCCAAGCUCUGCUUGAUGUUGGACGGAGCGGAAAGCCUGCCCGUCCGAAACUUGUGAGGCGUCCGACCGUCGAGCACCAGCGUGGCAAGCAAAAACUUCGCUGGGAGUGCUUCGACGGCCGACUGCCGCGAAACUACCUACAUCAUUUCA